GUUGAUAAUCAGACUGGACAUGUCUACACCGCUUCUAUGACCAUGGUAAACCAAAAUAUAGGACAUGUUUCAAUACCUGCUUUUAGUAUCAAUUUAGUCAUUGUUUUUUUGAGUCUUUACUUAGCCCUGCAUAAUCUCUUAGUGGUGGAUGGAUGAACUAUAGCCAGUUAACUGACAUUAAAUUCAACUCCCACAACCCUUUGCAAGUCUUAAAUGCAAGACUAGAAACAUAGAUGGUACAUGCCAACAACAGCAAAAUGGCAGUCGAACAAUCCAAUUGUAGUG